rnacentral:rRNA from 1 species
AUUGAACGCUGGCGGCAGGCCUAACACAUGCAAGUCGAACGGUAGCACAGAGAGCUUGCUCUCGGGUGACGAGUGGCGGACGGGUGAGUAAUGUCUGGGAAACUGCCCGAUGGAGGGGGAUAACUACUGGAAACGGUAGCUAAUACCGCAUAACGUCUUCGGACCAAAGUGGGGGACCUUCGGGCCUCACACCAUCGGAUGUGCCCAGAUGGGAUUAGCUAGUAGGUGGGGUAAUGGCUCACCUAGGCGACGAUCCCUAGCUGGUCUGAGAGGAUGACCAGCCCCAAUGGAACGGAGACACGGUCCAGACUCCUACGGGAGGCAGCAGUGGGGAAUAUUGCACAAUGGGCGCAAGCCUGAUGCAGCCAUGCCGCGUGUAUGAAGAAGGCCUUCGGGUUGUAAAGUACUUUCAGCGGGGAGGAAGGCGAUGUGGUUAAUAACCGCAUCGAUUGACGUUACCCGCAGAAGAAGCACCGGCUAACUCCGUGCCAGCCGCCGCGGUAAAAC